GACAGAGGGUGCAACCGUUGUUCGGAAUUACUGGGCGUAAAGCGCGUGUAGGCGGCUAAGUAAGUCGGGCGUGAAAUCCCACGGCUCAACCGUGGAAGUGCACUCGAAACUGCAUAGCUAGAGUCCUGGAGAGGAAGGUGGAAUGCUUGGUGUAGAGGUGAAAUUCGUAGAUAUCAAGCGGAAUACCGGUGGCGAAGGCGGCCUUCUGGACAGUGACUGACGCUGAGACGCGAAAGCGUGGGGAGCAAACAGG
rnacentral:rRNA from 1 species